UUCGCACAGUGUCGUGGGGUUCAACACAGGCGGCAAUUAACACUGCUGAACGUGCAUAGGCUUCGUCGUGCCUUCACCACCCACGGCGUAUGUAGACUGUAGACGUAUGUAGGCUACUAAACAACUGUCGAGAGCCUGUAGACAUGAGUGAACACUUGGAGGUCAUCGCGUGCUUUGCACUUGCGUAGGAGAAAAACACUUCGGAAUGAUCGUGUUCGAGGACUAAGGGACAGCCUGAUCGUAUUCCUUAAAGCAUAAUAAUAUUAUAGUUUACAGGCGUUGCAUCUGUCUUAUUCUCGAGUUAGUAAGAGAAACCUGACUGAAAUUAUUAAGAGAUAGUGACCUUGGUUUUCAUUCUUUUCAACCCACCCUCAUCAGAGUGACCCUUAUUUAAAGGUCCGAAGGAUACCAGCCGAUGUAUUUUUUAUUUCAGUUGAGGAGAAAAGAUAUUUAGAAUACCGGAUUCCAGCAAGCAGGACACAGAGGGGCGUUUUUUCUUCAGCAUCUUGAGUGCUCGGGAGUGUUUUCCAUCAAACACCACCAGAUAUGAGCUAAACGUACAGAAACUCAUCAAAUAGUAUAAAAGAACGUAUAGGUAUGGGAUAGGAGCCAUCUCUUCCUUCCUACUGAGUAAGUUCAGUUGAGGACAGAAAGUAGGACACGAAACAAAACAACACAAUAAUUUCUCUCCUGGUAAACACCCCAGUGCCUUCCACUGACAACCACAGAGUAUUAAUUUCCAUGUUACUUUCGAGGUGAUAAAGAACUGCUGCAGGGAAACCAGCUUUGUUCGAGAACUGCACGACAGCUAGCCUGUGUCUUCCCAUACACUACACACACACACACACACACACACACACACACACACACACACACACACACACACAGAGAGAGAUAGAUAGCAGUCGGGCUGGCCCGCCGGUACCGUCCUGUCACAGUCUGUCACUAUAACUGCCAGUGCUAAGAAUAGAGUGAGAGAGUCAGCUGAUUUCACUUUUCUAACUCGGGCCUUCACCGACUUUCAUUUCCGCGUCGCCAAGGAGAAAUUGUGGAACAGUGCUGGACUUAAGUUUUGGCUUAGACGCACGUUGCACACAACAUGGAUGACUUGACGGUUGGGUUUGUUGCAAUGGCGAUGUUCUUCAUGGUCGUUGGCGUUAUGUCCACUUCCUACUGGCUGUACAAGAGCAGACUCUCACCGGACAGGGAACGAGGCAAGCGUUACUUGAGGAAUCUGGAGCAUUUUGAGAGGCUGCAUUCGAAACCCUUAACGAUUCACGUAGUAUAACUCUCGAAGGACAAGUUGAAGAACAAGUUCAACUUUGAAACAAACAUCAACAUAUUAUUAAGUCUCUAUUGCAACUUGGUUAAGUGAUUACGUUUACGGGAAUCGUUCCCUCUUCUGUGAAUCGUACACAAGAUAUUCAAGAUAUUGAGAACAUGAAUCAACUUGUGGACAAGCUAUAAGCGAGAUAUUUAAGAUAUUGUACAAGCCAACAUAGCCAUGUUGCAUCGAAGACACAGCAGGUGAUCAUUGGACAGGUUAAGAGCAUACAGAAGACUUCCCGGAAAGUGCUUAUCGCGGCAUCGCGGUGAAAUCAGGUGCUCGUCAAAGUACUGAACUCGAAGAAACAGACAUGUUUUCUGUUGGGCAACUUGUAUCGACUCUCUGGAUGGAAAGCGGGGAGGGGGGGGGGUCAACUUCUUUUAUGUCCUCUCUGAUUUAAUUUACCUUAAAAAAGAUUGAUAAAAUACAGGAAUAAAUGUAAACUUCCUGUUUUCAAAGACGCUCAAGCUUUGGAAGUCAACAAAUCUGGGCGCAAUGUUCUCGGUAACUUUACCUCAGACACCAGAUGUCUCUAAUCUCCCUCUGUCAUACAUAUUUCGACUUUUGUCCAAUAUAAAUGGGCAUUUUUCAUCAAAAGCGAAACAAAUGAACGAGCUUUAAGAUUAUAUCAAGAUUAUAUCAACAACUCCAUAAUAACCCCCCCCAACAAACAAACAAACAAACAAACAAACAAACAAACAAACAAACAAACAAACAAAAAACCAGACGAGUGCCCGAUUCAAGGGUGCCGUGACAUAAAGUAUUUAUAUGGGGAAGUUGAAGAGGGACUUCCUGGAUCAGAACGAACUUCUAAAACUCCAAAUGACUUCUUUCUACUAAGCCAGCGCCUUAUUGUGCUUUAUUAUUAUGCUGACAGAGCGAGGCGCUCGACGGUGCUAUUUCUCUUUUACGCUCUUCACAGCUAGACGUUCUCUAUAAUUAAUAUUAAUACUUCCAAAGUGUCCUAAAACAGUUGUGCAGUGGCGGUGAGGCUGCCAAGAAUUUUUCAUUCAAUUAUUUAUAUUUCUUAAAAGACAGUGGUGGCUUUCCAUUACAAAAUCAAUCAUAUUUCUUGUUUCUUAUUGUCAUGAAAAAGUACCCACUUGUACUUACAGAACUCUGUAUAGCUUCCAACUUCUUGAGCUAGAAAGCUGGCGUUGCAACUUCCUAAUACCAGAAUGGCUGGAAAAUAAUAAAAUUAAUGUGAUUGUCACUUGCUCGGUUUGU